GAUGAACGCUAGCGGCAGGCUUAAUACAUGCAAGUCGUGGGGCAGCAGGGUUGUAGCAAUACAAUCGCUGGCGACCGGCAAACGGGUGCGUAACACGUACGCAACCUUCCCGUUACUGUGGCAUAGCCCAGGGAAACUUGGAUUAAUACCACAUAUUAUAUUGAGGGGGCAUCCCUUUGAUAUCAAAGCUUCGGCGGUAACGGAUGGGCGUGCGGUUGAUUAGGUAGUUGGCGGGGUAACGGCCCACAAAGCCUACGGUCAAUAGCUGAUGUGGGAGCAUGAUCAGCCAAACGGGCACUGAGACACGAGACCGACUCCUACGGGAGGCAGCAGUAAGGAAUAUUGGGCAAUGGACGAAAGUCUGACCCAGCCAUGCCGCGUGAAGGAUUAAGGUCCUCUGGAUUGUAAACUUCUUUUCUCUGGGGCAAAAACCAGCUAUUCUUAGCUAUUUGACAGUACCAGAGGAAUAAGCACCGGCUAACUCCGUGCCAGCAGCCGCAGUAAAAC
rnacentral:rRNA from 1 species